rnacentral:rRNA from 1 species
AUACGGAGGAUGCAAGCGUUAUCCGGAUUUAUUGGGUUUAAAGGGUGCGUAGGCGGAUGAUUAAGCGUGAGGUGAAAUGCCACUGCUCAACAGUGGAACUGCCUCGCGAACUGGUUGUCUUGAAUGCUCCUGCCGUGGGAGGAAUGUGUGGUGUAGCGGUGAAAUGCAUAGAGAUCACACAGAACACCGAUUGCGAAGGCAUCUCACGAAGGGGUGAUGAACGCUGAGGCACGAAAGCGUGGGGAUCAAACAGGAUUAGAUACCCUGGUAGUCCACGCAGUAAACGAUGAUAACUAACCGCUGGGUCGUAGUGAUUCAGUGGCCAAGCGAAAGCGAUAAGUUAUCCACCUGGGGAGUACGACCGCAAGGUUGAAACUCAAAGGAAUUGGCGGGG